AUUGAUUUUAUGCUUGCAUAAAUGAUUUUUGGAUUCGGAGCGAGUGGCGAACUGGUGAGUAACACGUGGGUAACCUGCCCCGAAGCGGGGGAUAACAUUUGGAAACAAGUGCUAAUACCGCAUAAUUAGUUGGAACCGCAUGGUUCCAACUUGAAAGAUGGCUCUGCUAUCACUUUGGGAUGGACCCGCGCCGUAUUAGUUAGUUGGUGAGAUAAAAGCCCACCAAGACGAUGAUACGUAGCCGACCUGAGAGGGUAAUCGGCCACAUUGGGACUGAGACACGGCCCAGACUCCUACGGGAGGCAGCAGUAGGGAAUCUUCCACAAUGGACGAAAGUCUGAUGGAGCAACGCCGCGUGAGUGAUGAAGGUUUUCGGAUCGUAAAACUCUGUUGUUAAAGAAGAACAAGUGUUAGAGUAACUGUUGACACUUUGACGGUAUUUAACCAGAAAGCCACGGCUAACUACGUGCCAGCAGCCGCGGUAAUACGUAGGUGGCAAGCGUUGUCCGGAUUUAUUGGGCGUAAAGCGAGCGCAGGCGGUUUUGUAAGUCUGCUGUGAAAGCCCUCAGCUCAACUGAGGAAGUGCAGUGGAAACUACAAAACUUGAGUACAGAAGAGGAAAGUGGAACUCCAUGUGUAGCGGUGAAAUGCGUAGAUAUAUGGAAGAACACCAGUGGCGAAGGCGGCUUUCUGGUCUGUUACUGACGCUGAGGCUCGAAAGCAUGGGUAGCGAACAGGAUUAGAUACCCUGGUAGUCCAUGCCGUAAACGAUGAAUACUAGGUGUUGGAGGGUUUCCGCCCUUCAGUGCCGCAGCUAACGCAUUAAGUAUUCCGCCUGGGGAGUACGACCGCAAGGUUGAAACUCAAAGGAAUUGACGGGGGCCCGCACAAGUGGUGGAGCAUGUGGUUUAAUUCGAUGCUACGCGAAGAACCUUACCAGCUCUUGACAUCUUCUGCCAACCCAAGAGAUUGGGCGUUCCCUUCGGGGACAGAAUGACAGGUGGUGCAUGGUUGUCGUCAGCUCGUGUCGUGAGAUGUUGGGUUAAGUCCCGCAACGAGCGCAACCCUUAUUAUUAGUUGCCAGCAUUUAGUUGGGCACUCUAGUGAGACUGCCGGUGAUAAA
rnacentral:rRNA from 1 species